rnacentral:rRNA from 1 species
GAUGAACGCUGACAGAAUGCUUAACACAUGCAAGUCAACUUGAAUUUGGGUUUUUAACUUAGGUUUGGGUGGCGGACGGGUGAGUAACGCGUAAAGAACUUGCCUCACAGCUAGGGACAACAUUUGGAAACGAAUGCUAAUACCUAAUAUUAUGAUAAUAGGGCAUCCUAUAAUUAUGAAAGCUAUAAGCGCUGUGAGAGAGCUUUGCGUCCCAUUAGCUAGUUGGAGAGGUAACGGCUCACCAAGGCGACGAUGGGUAGCCGGCCUGAGAGGGUGAUCGGCCACAAGGGGACUGAGACACGGCCCUUACUCCUACGGGAGGCAGCAGUGGGGAAUAUUGGACAAUGGACCAAGAGUCUGAUCCAGCAAUUCUGUGUGCACGAUGAAGUUUUUCGGAAUGUAAAGUGCUUUCAGUUGGGAAGAAAAAAAUGACGGUACCAACAGAAGAAGUGACGGCUAAAUACGUGCCAGCAGCCGCGGUAAUACGUAUGUCACGAGCGUUAUCCGGAUUUAUUGGGUUUAAAGGGUGCGUAGGCCGUUUGAUAAGCGUGCUGUGAAAUAUAGUGGCUCAACCUCUAUCGUGCAGCGCGAACUGUCGAACUUGAGUGCGUAGUAGGUAGGCGGAAUUCGUGGUGUAGCGGUGAAAUGCUUAGAUAUCACGAAGAACUCUGAUUGCGAAGGCAGCUUACCGUAACGUUACUGACGCUUAAGCACGAAGGUGCGGGUAUCGAACAGG